GUGAACGCUGGCGGUAGGCCUAACACAUGCAAGUCGAACGGCAGCACAGUAAGAGCUUGCUCUUACGGGUGGCGAGUGGCGGACGGGUGAGGAAUACAUCGGAAUCUACUUUUUCGUGGGGGAUAACGUAGGGAAACUUACGCUAAUACCGCAUACGACCUACGGGUGAAAGCAGGGGAUCUUCGGACCUUGCGCGAUUGAAUGAGCCGAUGUCGGAUUAGCUAGUUGGCGGGGUAAAGGCCCACCAAGGCGACGAUCCGUAGCUGGACUGAGAGGAUGAUCAGCCACACUGGAACUGAGACACGGUCCAGACUCCUACGGGAGGCAGCAGUGGGGAAUAUUGGACAAUGGGCGCAAGCCUGAUCCAGCCAUACCGCGUGGGUGAAGAAGGCCUUCGGGUUGUAAAGCCCUUUUGUUGGGAAAGAAAAGCAGCAGGUUAAUACCCCGCUGUUCUGACGGUACCCAAAGAAUAAGCACCGGCUAACUUCGUG
rnacentral:rRNA from 1 species